rnacentral:rRNA from 1 species
GAUGAACGCUGGCGGCGUGCCUAAUACAUGCAAGUCGAGCGAACAGACGAGGAGCUUGCUCCUCUGACGUUAGCGGCGGAAGGGUGAGUAACACGUGGAUAACCUACCUAUAAGACUGGGAUAACUUCGGGAAACCGGAGCUAAUACCGGAUAAUAUAUUGAACCGCAUGGUUCAAUAGUGAAAGACGGUUUUGCUGUCACUUAUAGAUGGAUCCGCGCCGCAUUAGCUAGUUGGUAAGGUAACGGCUUACCAAGGCAACGAUGCGUAGCCGACCUGAGAGGGUGAUCGGCCACACUGGACCUGAGACACGGUCCAGACUCCUACGGGAGGCAGCAGUAGGGAAUCUUCCGCAAUGGGCGAAAGCCUGACGGAGCAACGCCGCGUGAGUGAUGAAGGUCUUCGGAUCGUAAAACUCUGUUAUUAGGGAAGAACAAAUGUGUAAGUAACUAUGCACGUCUUGACGGUACCUAAUCAGAAAGCCACGGCUAACUACGUG